GACGAACGCUGGCGGCGUGCCUAAUACAUGCAAGUCGAACGAACCGCGACUGAGUGCUUGCACUUGGUCAAGGUGAGUGGCGAACGGGUGAGUAACACGUGGGUAACCUACCUCAUAGUGGGGGAUAACAGUCGGAAACGACUGCUAAUACCGCAUAGGACAUGGAAUCACAUGAUUCUGUGAGGAAAGGUGGCGCAAGCUAUCGCUAAGAGAUGGACCCGCGGUGCAUUAGUUAGUUGGUAGGGUAAGGGCCUACCAAGGCGAUGAUGCAUAGCCGACCUGAGAGGGUGAUCGGCCACAUUGGGACUGAGACACGGCCCAAACUCCUACGGGAGGCAGCAGUAGGGAAUCUUCCGCAAUGGACGCAAGUCUGACGGAGCAACGCCGCGUGAGUGAAGAAGGUCUUUGGAUCGUAAAGCUCUGUUGUUAGAGAAGAACAGCGCAUAGAGUAACUGUUAUGCGUGUGACGGUAUCUAACCAGAAAGCCACGGCUAACUACGUG
rnacentral:rRNA from 1 species